UUGGUGGUGAGGAGUAAAGUGAAAGGAAAACGCGUUUGGGGUCGAAACACGGCCAGACUCCCAGGCGCUUUUCCUUU
rnacentral:sRNA from 1 species